CGGGACAUCAAUAACAUGGCUGUAGAAGAGUCGCGACGCUUGGCCGUGGUGUGAUUUAUUGGCUCGCACACGUAAUUAAAGCCGAGCUGAUUGCUGAGCUUUCUGCGCCAGCACACGCGGCUGAGGUUUCAUAAAGAGAUUACUGUGUGUUUCCGCGUGCGGGAGUGCAGGGAACGUGGCCAACGGCGCGCUCCUCAAUCUCCCGGCUCAGCUCAGAUCAGCUCGUGCUUUCUCUACCUCUCGACACGUCUUCCUCUCUGUCUCUCGGCUCAUCACUUGCAGGCACCAUAAACAUAUGUUCUCCCAUCUCUUCUCGGCCCCUGAGUGCCGGGACUCAUCGGCCGCUGUCUCUUGCUGCUGAGGAGAUCAUGGAGGUCCAGACCGUGGAGCAGCUCGAUCUCCAGGACUCUGAUGAAGAUAGGGAGGAUUGCCUGGCUCUGGCCUGCCUUGAGGAAGAUACCAAACAUAUGAGCACUACACCAUUAGAUGAGGGUUUUUAGUUGUGUCCAGGCACCGGUGGCUCAAAGCCUCGUCUCUGUCUUUGAUGUGGCAGGAUUAUUGACAGGGUCACUCAGAUGAAGAGGAGGAGAUCUUCAUCAGGAAUGCAGGUCUGAUGACCUGAGACUGAUUACAGCACUAUCACUAUCCUCCUGAAAUCCAGCCAAUCAAAGUCAAAUCCUGCUGUCCUCCCAUGCUACCAUACACCUUAUUUUUGUUGUAAAUUGCGAAAAUGUUCAGCUUAUUUUCACAGAAACUGUUUUGAGAGAUUCACAGGCUGGAUUCCUCCUCCCUCACCGCUGUGCUCUGGAGCUGGAUGCUGGGAAAGUGCUGCUUUAGUCACUGGUAAAGUAUCCGCUAAAUGACAAGAAUCCAAUUGCCGUUUUAACUUUUCUAAUUAGCUGCUUAUGGCUUGACAGGGUUCGUGAGGGUUCUGGAGGAAGAGAAGAUGAAAGCAUUGAAGACUGCAUGAAGCAGCAGUGUGCAAAUGAAGGCAUGGAAAGCAGAGGGAUUUCCCCUACAGAGAGAGAAUCCGCCACUGGUCACUGAGUGCAGACAGGAAACCAUUAGCGCUGACAUAAGUGCUCCCGCCGGACACACAGAGACAGAGACAUCAGGCGAGCUGAACAGAGUCAGUACUAGAUGAGCCUUGAAUUCAGUUGGGCUGCAUUUGUAAUGGCUAUAUUCAAUAUAAAAUGUCUUUAAAAUCAAACAUUUUAAAUGUGUUAUUAUUUUGCCUAUUUAUUGUAUUAUUCAAACCAGGGCUUCUCAAAUAUUUUUGUCAUCUGAGUCCAUUAGAUAUAAAAUAUUUACUUGAAGCUUCCACUGGGAUUUAAAACAACAACAACAACAACAACAAAACAAAACAAUAAUUUAAGAAACAUUCACAUGUUCAUGGUUCUCUGAUGUUGGCUAAUUGUCACACUGACAUACAAAUAAACAGAUAGAAUAUUGUUUUUAUAGUUUCAUAUAUCUUUUAAGUAGAAAUAUUUACAUUUUAUAUUUUUUUUAUUAUUUUGAUGUGUUUUUAUUUGUUUAUUUUACAAUUUUUAUUAUUUUAAAUUAAUUAAUUUAUUCAUAUAUUUAUUUACACAUUUAUUUAUAUGGUUGCUUCACGUUCUUUUUCUUAUUGUUAUAUUAUUACAUCUACUGUAGGUAGAUUUGUUGGUAUAUUAUCAAAUUUACACACAGUAGAUUUUACUUAUUAUUAUUUGCAAUUGCCAUUUUUCC
rnacentral:lncRNA from 1 species